rnacentral:lncRNA from 1 species
CCAGUUCCCACAAACCGGUCACCUGCUCCUGGCUUCCGUUCCGCCCUGUGGGUCUGUGUGUCUUAGGUCCAGAUCGCACUGCUUUAUUAUCACGGAUCCCUUUUAGCAACAGGCCGAUCACGGUAUAGCUUUCAUCUGGUGGCAGAUCUGUGAGGUUCGU